UACGUAGGGUGCGAGCGUUAAUCGGAAUUACUGGGCGUAAAGCGUGCGCAGGCGGUUUGUUAAGUCUGAUGUGAAAGCCCUGGGCUCAACUCAGGAACUGCAUUCGAAACUGGUAGGCUCGAGUACGGGAGAGGGGGGUGGAAUUCCUGGUGUAGGGGUGAAAUUCGUUGAUAUCAGGAGGAACACCGGCGGCGAAGGCGGCCCCCUGGCCCGCAACUGACGCUCAUGGUCGAAAGCGUGGGGAGCAAACAGG
rnacentral:rRNA from 1 species